UAAACCGUCUGCCUUCAGUGUGAGUGAAUGAGUGUGUGCGUAUGUAAGCAAGCAUGUGAAUGAUGCAGAUGAUGUAUAACGAUCAUCUGGGGAAAGAGCGGGCCCGAACGAGGAACAGCCAUUACAUUAGUGUUUCAGAAUGUGAUAUAGAGGGAAGGGUCACUGUGUUUAACCAGUAUUAAAUGCUAAUUGGACAUAUUACGUACUGGUAGCUUGUCAAAAUAGAGGCAUUUGAUUUAAGUGAUUGCGGAAGGGGGCCUUAAGCUAAUGUCAUAAUGCAUUUUUAAGCAAUACUGAUGUGUUUUUUUAACAACAGCUGCACGAAUUCUAUUUUUUUUUUUUUUUUGUGCCAUGUAGGAAGAAAUAAAAUUAGAGCACUGGAACUUAUAUAUAUUUGUCAUACAUCCUCCAUUUCUCUUACAACAUGAUGGUUUUGAAUAGUUUUUACUUUUAACUGCUGUUUAGUAACCUCAUUUUUUUUUUUUUUUUUUUUUUUCCCCUGCCUUUUGUCCGUUUGGGAACAUUGAAUGUGCAACCCAGCUUUCCAUUGUACAUUGGAUCAGUGCUUAUAGGGAUUGAUACCCUCAUGGCGGUGUCCUAUUGGUCGCAGAAGAGCCCGUAUAAAUCAUCCGCUGGGCGCUGAUAUACAAACUGCAUGAUGAAUGCAUACUGACCUAAUGAUGAAAACAAUUAUUUGGGCUUUUAACUUUUUUUUUUUUUAUCUCCGUGCAAAAUGGAGCCAUUUUGGAGACAGAAAUGGUGACAAAUAACGGUAAGAGGCCGUGAAACGCUGCCGUUCACACUUUCCGAGAUUAACGUCAUUUGUAUCAGUUUAGUGCCGGAGGGGCCAAACUGCAUGAUGAAGGAGGUCUGGAUUGGCCCUCCGCUACAACCGAGGAAGGAGUAAGUGUGAAGAGAGCGAGGGGGGAAAGUGGGAUGUAGUGGAUAUAAGGGUGUGUUUGUCAUGAGGGGCCGGGGAGGGAGGGACGAUUCCUGGGUCAAAGGUGGAUCUAAAGCAACAGAAACAGGGGAGCGUUACAUUUCCUCCGGCCACCCUUAAAUAAUGUCCGCAGGCCCAAGUUAUUAACCUCUUUAAAGCCCACAGAGCAGAGUAGCGCAAGCCUCCAGUCAGGCCUGGUCGCGGUCAGGGGACAGAUAGCAGAGAUAAUAGAAGUGCACAUGGAGGAACAAUGCGCUGGUGUAUCUAGGGAUAGGGGAAAGAGUAACACAAGUGAGGAGAACAGCACCAAAUAAAAGGAGAAUAAUCCCAGGCACAGAUAAUCAAUGGAGAGAUGAAGAGAGGGGAAUGAGAAAUGCACCUGAAUUUUCUGCCUUACUUUUUUUGAUUCUAUUUGUAAUAGAGUUUAUGAUGUGUUAUUCCUGCCCUGCAUAGUGGCUGGGGCGGUGUGAGACGGUGUGCAGCUCCGAGGGGUGUUGUGGAGGCUAAGGAUGCUGGUUCACGGAGGGUUCACCCAUUACCCAGGCCCUGCAGCCAGCUGGGGGGCUAACCAGGAUGAUCAGCGCGAGCCACAGCCUGCACAGGCCCCAAUGAUUUUCACAUCAAGCCGCCUGAUGUACAGCUCCACCGUCUACCAAUCGCUCUCCCAUAUCGAUCCCCCCUUAAAUGAGCCUUCCCCGCUUUGUACCAUGAGCAAUAAUUAAAAAAGCAGCACAUUGAUUUUAACUAAUAUUAUGAGAGAUCAGGAUGUGCACAUGCUUACAAAACAGCUAAGGCGCUUCGGCUACCAUCGGCAGCAGAAAAACAAAGCGGUGUGGAGGUGGGGGGGGGCUGAUUAGAUUCAAGGUAACAAAAGGAUGCAAACAUACAGAAAUCACUGCAAAAGUCUUUAGCCGGUGUUGUGAAACACAUAAGAUGCUACCAAAGGCUCUGCAGAGACAUCACGAUAGAGCUGGGGGGUACUUUGAAAUUCCUCUCUGCAGCAUACGAUACGUCACACAGGGGAAUAAAACAUCCCACAAGCCAACAAGGACUACGAAUGUAGGAUUUAUGAGAAUAUACACGUGCAAUAUUUGAAGCUGAAAGCGUUCAUUUAACACAUCUGAACCAAAGCUCACAAAUGAGGUCGCAAAUGCUGCGAUCUGCUGCAACUUGUGCUGAAAAUCACGUGCUUUUGCAAUAUCGGCUUGUCAAAAUCAAAAGAAAGACAGCCGUGUUUGCGAUGAGGCACCUAUCAGACUAUGCAGGGGGAUUACAUAUGUUGAUAUUUAUGGACAUGUUCGGCCUAUAUUAAUUACGCAACGGAGAGAUGACAAGAAAUAAAGGGAGAAAACGAUGCAGGCACGACAGUUUCAACUGAACCUGGGACAGACAAAGUCCACCAGAACGCUUCUCUGCUUGUGGAUCCACUUAAUUCCAUGUUAACACGUAGAUAAACAGUAAUCCAAUCUUCAAAACAGCUUUGUUUUGUUUUUUUUUUUAAUUGGUUGUCUCACCUCACAGACAAUUUUUUUCCUCAAAUGUUCUCAACCCUUAAGGAAAGCUUUAUUUCUCUAGAUUUUUAUUUCAACAUUAAAAAUCACCACAUUUGGA